rnacentral:rRNA from 1 species
UUCCGAGAGUCCAUAUCGACGAGGCGGUUUGGCACCUCGAUGUCGGCUCAUCCUAUCCUGGGGCUGGAGAAGGUCCCAAGGGUCCGGCUGUUCGCCGGUUAAAAGGGUACGCGAGCUGGGUUCAGAACGUCGUGAGACAGUAGACAAUGAAAAUUUAUUUUUUCUAAAUGAGCUGUCCGCAUUCCGAUGUUCUUAUAACCCCAUCGAGAUAAUUUUACUGUUAUAUUUUGAAUGCAUCCCAUUAUAUAGGGAUAAAUCUAACUAUUUGCUGGGAAUUCCGAUUGUAUAUGGUGAUACGUAUUACAUGUACGUGAUAAAGCACCAUCGGUCACAGAGCGUGUAUCGGAUUAUCAGCAGGAAAGGCCCGCCUUUUUUGGGCGAGGAAUCCUCAGAGACUAUACGUUAGACCCGCUGAUGAGGCGAGGAAGAUAUAGUCCGAACUGCAUGGCGACAUGCAGAGCGUGUGUAGAAAUAUACCGCUCCCAAGAGUAUUUUUGGGAUAACAUAUUGUCGGUCUCUAUCCAGUGUGAGCGUUCGAUUCUUGAGGGGAGCUCUCUCUAGUACGAGAGGACCGAGAGGGACAGAUCCCUGGUGUGCCUGUUGUCGGUAAACCGGCAGCGCAGGGUAGCUAUAUCUGGAAGGGAUAAGUGCUGAAAGCAUCUCAAGCACCAAGCCCACCCCAAGAUAAGGAAUCGUUAUAGAUCCGUCGUAGACUACGACGUUGAUAGGCGAGGAGUGUACGCGCCGUAAGGCGCUUAGCUUACUCGUACUAAUCGAUCAAAGG